rnacentral:sRNA from 1 species
CGGUAGGGAAUUGUUGUGGAGAAAGGAAGUGGGUGUGUGAAUCGAUUCCCCCAGCGGUAAUAAUCAUACCUUCCCCUGCUAGUGCUUCUGUGCCCACACCCACGACCAUAUGAGGGCUUACGCCAUCUUGCAUGUCCUUGUUUCCUGCCUUGCCAAUGCCAUGGAUUUUGCCGUUUUUAAUCCCAAUGUCGGCUUUGUAAAUCCCGGUGUAGUCGAUAAUCAUCGCGUUAGUGAUGACUAAAUCUAGGGUGUUUUCAUCAGGGCUAUUGCUCUGACCCAUACCCUCACGGAUAG